CGGCGAACGGGUGAGUAACACGUGAGUAACCUGCCCUUGACUUUGGGAUAACUUCAGGAAACUGGGGCUAAUACCGGAUAGGAGCUCCUGCUGCAUGGUGGGGGUUGGAAAGUUUCGGCGGUUGGGGAUGGACUCGCGGCUUAUCAGCUUGUUGGUGGGGUAGUGGCUUACCAAGGCUUUGACGGGUAGCCGGCCUGAGAGGGUGACCGGCCACAUUGGGACUGAGAUACGGCCCAG
rnacentral:rRNA from 1 species